GAGCUGAGAUCACGCCACUGCACUCCAGCCUGAGUGACACAGUGAGACUCUGUCUCAAAAUAAAUAAAUAAAUCAUGGAAAUCAUUUUAUAUCAGUUCAUAUAGGUUUUCCUUAUUGUUUUAAGAAAGAUGCACAGUAUUGUAUUGCAAGGAUAUAUCAUUCAUGCAAUCAAUUUUCUAUAUACCAAUUUUUGAGUUGUUUCCAGUAUUUUGGCAAUUACAAAUAAUGUCUUAAUAAAUAACAUUGUAUAUAUUUAUUUUCAUAUUGUUGAAAGUAAACUUCAGGGUAAAUUCCCAGAAGUCGGAUUGCUGGGUCAAAGCAUAAAAUGUGUAUGAAGUUUUGUUAGAUAUUGCCAAAUUUCAAUCCACAGAGAUUGCAUCAUUUUGCACACUCAUCAUCUAUAUAUUAAGAGUGCUCAUUACCCUACAGAGUAUAUCAUUGUAUGUACUAAUUUUGACCACUUUGAUAGAUGUGAAAUGUUUUUCUCGUUUUCAUUUGGAUUUAAUUACAAAUGAGAUAGAAGUUUCUUUUCAUAAGUGUUAGGAACAUUUUGUAUCUUUUUAGGGGUAUAUUGUCUACAUCAUGUAUUUUGCCCAUUUAUCUAUAAGGUUUUGGUCCUUCUUUAAUCUUGAUGUUUACAAGUUCUUUACAGAUUAAUGAUUUUAGUUCUUUAUUUGCAAUAUGCGUUGAAAAUAUUUUCUCCCAGUUCAUCAUUUGUCUAUGUUUUUGUUUACAGAGUUUUGUGUCAUUCAAAAGUUCUUUAAAAUUUUUAAAAAUUUUUAUAGAGUUGAGUUCAUGAAUCUUUUAUUGUAUCUAGAUUUUUAGACAUAUUUUGAAAGCCUUUCAUCACCAGAUUUCAAAGGUGUUGGUAGAUAUCUAUUUUUAAACAUGGAAAGAUGGUGGUGCAAUGGCCAGAUACCACUGGGGAAUAUCCUUAUUCAACAUGUGAGAAUGACGUACAACUAGGAAGACAUGUACAGUUGAAAACAGGAUAUCCAGCACAUGAGAGAAAUAGAACCUGUGGAAUGAGAAUUGCGCCCAGGUACAGAGGUCAGUGGCAACAGGCUGAAUAUUUUUGGCCCCCAUCCCACAAAGAACCAUAUGUUGCAGACUAAAUCCCCAAUGUGGUGGUAUUGGAGGUGGGACCUUUGGGAGCUGAUUAGGUUCUGAGGGUGGAGCCCUCAUGAAUGGGAUUAGUAUUCUUCUAAGAGGAGAGGCAAAAGAGAUGAUCUCUCUCUCUCUCUCUCUCUCCCCCUCUACCAUGUGAGGACACAUGAAGACAGCCAUUUGCAAACCAAUAUGUAGGCCCUCACCAAGCACUAGAGCUGUUAGUGUCUUGACCUUGGAUUUCCCAGCCUUUAGAACUGUGAAAAGUAAAUUUGUGUUGUUUAAGCCACCCAGUCUAUGGUAUUCUGUUAUAGCAGCCUGAACUGACUAGGACAGCAGCCAUUCAAAUGGAAGCAGCCUGGCGCAAAAGACAGAUAGUUAAGAGCUGUCAUCACCAUGCCUGCUACUGUAGAACCAGCUUUUUAACCAGAUCAAACUCCUGGAGGAUGUACUCAACCAGAGCAAGGGCAUGUGCCAGGAAAGAGGGAGCCGUCAUAUCCAGGAAAUCAGAAUCCAGUCUUGGAAAAAGGCAAAGCAACUUCUAAGUACAGUAGAAAAGCAAAGGCCAGCAUGACAACCAAGUAGCAGCUCUAAGAGGGAAAACUGCCUAAAGAAGGAGAAAUGUCUAAAAAAAUUUACCUGAUGUAAAUUGUGGAACCCUGUACUGAGAGGUUGUUGGAAGUAGUAGGAAGAACUAGCAAAAAGCAAAGAGAAAAGUAAGAAAAUGAAAAAGCAAGGUCAUUUAUUAACUUCAGGAAAAACUAAAUGUAGAAGGAAAAUAAUCAUUGAUGCUUCCAUAUGAAUAAUAUUUGCAUAGCAUAUGAAUGAAAAUGCUGAAUAUAGAUUUAACCAAAAUUGUAAUCUAAUCACAUUGGGACGAUAGAAGAGGAGAAAGGGGGAUGGCAGCAUAAGAGAGCCUAUCCUUUUUGCCAUAAUAGGAAAUAUAUAAAUGAUGUUUAAAAUUGAUUAAUAGGGCUGGGCAUGAUGGCUCAUGCCUGUAAUUCCAGCAUUUUGGGAGGCCGAGGCGGG